rnacentral:rRNA from 1 species
UACGUAGGGGGCAAGCGUUGUCCGGAAUCAUUGGGCGUAAAGAGCGCGUAGGCGGUCCGGUAAGUCCGCUCUGAAAGUCCGGGGCUCAACCCCGGGAGGCGGGCGGAUACUGUCGGGCUAGAGUCCGGAAGGGGCGAGUGGAAUUCCUGGUGUAGCGGUGAAAUGCGCAGAUAUCAGGAGGAACACCAAUGGCGAAGGCAGCUCGCUGGGACGUGACUGACGCUGAGACGCGAAAGCGUGGGGAGCAAACAGG